rnacentral:tRNA from 1 species
GACCGUGUAGCUCAGUUGGAAGAGCAUUGGGCUAGUAUUCCAAAGGUCGUAGGUUCGAAUCCUACCGUGGCCG